UGCGUAGGCGGAAUAUUAAGUCAGUGGUGAAAUCCUGCGGCUCAACCGUAGAACUGCCAUUGAUACUGAUAUUCUUGAAUGUAGUUGAGGUAGGCGGAAUAUGUAAUGUAGCGGUGAAAUGCUUAGAUAUUACAUAGAACACCGAUUGCGAAGGCAGCUUACUAAACUGUGAUUGACGCUGAGGCACGAAAGCGUGGGGAGCGAACAGGAUUAGAUACCCUGGUAGUC
rnacentral:rRNA from 1 species